rfam:Enterobacter sp. 638, complete genome.
AUCGGUUUGGCAUACAGACCUUAUGAAAGCAGUUUUAGUAAAGCAGUCCUCAUUUCAAGCGAUAUCCUUAGAUACUCUUAUGCAUGAGCCUCCUCCUAAGUGCCCAAUAAGUCCUCAUCUGCAAGCAGGCCAUGUUCGCCGCCACGUGUGGCUCAAGAAAAUUUAAGGAAAUAUCUAUGUCUAACAAAAUGACUGGUUUAGUAAAAUGGUUUAACUCUGAAAAAGGCUUCGGCUUCAUUACCCCAGCCGAUGGUAGCAAAGAUGUAUUCGUACAUUUUUCUGCUAUUCAGAGCAGCGAUUACAAAACGCUGGAUGAAGGACAGAAGGUUGAGUUCUCGAUUGAGAAUGGUGCCAAAGGUCCGGCAGCUGCUAACGUUACCGCGCUUUAAUAGCUGAUAACGCCAUGAACACUUAUGACAGCGAUGAUGGCUUC